GACGAACGCUGGCGGCGUGCUUAACACAUGCAAGUCGAACGGAAAGGCCCUGCUUUUGUGGGGUGCUCGAGUGGCGAACGGGUGAGUAACACGUGAGUAACCUGCCCUUGACUUUGGGAUAACUUCAGGAAACUGGGGCUAAUACCGGAUAGGAGCUCCUGCUGCAUGGUGGGGGUUGGAAAGUUUCGGCGGUUGGGGAUGGACUCGCGGCUUAUCAGCUUGUUGGUGGGGUAGUGGCUUACCAAGGCUUUGACGGGUAGCCGGCCUGAGAGGGUGACCGGCCACAUUGGGACUGAGAUACGGCCCAGACUCCUACGGGAGGCAGCAGUGGGGAAUAUUGCACAAUGGGCGGAAGCCUGAUGCAGCAACGCCGCGUGCGGGAUGACGGCCUUCGGGUUGUAAACCGCUUUCGCCUGUGACGAAGCGUGAGUGACGGUAAUGGGUAAAGAAGCACCGGCUAACUACGUGCCAGCAGCCGCGGUGAUACGUAGGGUGCGAGCGUUGUCCGGAUUUAUUGGGCGUAAAGGGCUCGUAGGUGGUUGAUCGCGUCGGAAGUGUAAUCUCGGGGCUUAACCCUGAGCGUGCUUUCGAUACGGGUUGACUUGAGGAAGGUAGGGGAGAAUGGAAUUCCUGGUGGAGCGGUGGAAUGCGCAGAUAUCAGGAGGAACACCAGUGGCGAAGGCGGUUCUCUGGGCCUUUCCUGACGCUGAGGAGCGAAAGCGUGGGGAGCGAACAGGCUUAGAUACCCUGGUAGUCCACGCUGUAAACGGUGGGUACUAGGUGUGGGGUCCAUUCCACGGGUUCCGUGCCGUAGCUAACGCUUUAAGUACCCCGCCUGGGGAGUACGGCCGCAAGGCUAAAACUCAAAGGAAUUGACGGGGCCCCGCACAAGCGGCGGAGCAUGCGGAUUAAUUCGAUGCAACGCGUAGAACCUUACCUGGGUUUGACAUGGAUCGGGAGUGCUCAGAGAUGGGUGUGCCUCUUUUGGGGUCGGUUCACAGGUGGUGCAUGGCUGUCGUCAGCUCGUGUCGUGAGAUGUUGGGUUAAGUCCCGCAACGAGCGCAACCCUUGUUCACUGUUGCCAGCACGUUAUGGUGGGGACUCAGUGGAGACCGCCGGGGUCAACUCGGAGGAAGGUGGGGAUGACGUCAAGUCAUCAUGCCCCUUAUGUCCAGGGCUUCACGCAUGCUACAAUGGCUGGUACAGAGAGUGGCGAGCCUGUGAGGGUGAGCGAAUCUCGGAAAGCCGGUCUCAGUUCGGAUUGGGGUCUGCAACUCGACCUCAUGAAGUCGGAGUCGCUAGUAAUCGCAGAUCAGCAACGCUGCGGUGAAAACGUUCCCGGGGCU
rnacentral:rRNA from 1 species